UCGCUUUCGGAAGGCGAAGCGAAACGGCAGCGGCCGCGGCUUCGUCGGCGCCUCGCCCUCCGGCCUCUCCGGUCCUCUCGUCGUGCUCGGCGAACGGGCUUCUGAAUCGAGAUGUCUGCAAGACUGCAAUGUCGCAGUUUAACUAUGCCCCAGCCUUCCAAUCCAGGCCGGUAUCUGGUAAUCCCGUUGAGACAUUUCCAUGUGACGUGAUGUGAUUUCCGCGGGAUCAUGGCCGGCAAUAUGCCUCUGCGGCACUUGGGUGACUGCAUAUGCAGCCAAACUUGUCGGCAUUGGGACCCUUUGGUGGAUAAAUAGGGCCUGCAUUAGUUAUGAGAUAUACUAGCUGGUACAGAAUCUGUUGCACACUGGAUUGCUUGACCACAAAUACAACGAAAAUGACCUUGACGUUUGUGAUGUUAGCACAGAAAGGUGUUAGAAGAGGACAUCAACUUCCUGUGAAUUUUGUUUAGGUAUUCAUGAACUGAUAUCCUGCUUCUUCCUUUGGUUCUGUUGAAGACACCUUUAACCUCAACUUAAAAAUAUCCGUGGAGCUUCAGUGUGGGACACUCUACAUCAUGUACUUUUGGAUAUAUUCACCUGUGUUGACCUUAGCUGCAGUUUGAGCGCUCAUUAUUAUGUGCAGUUCAGAAGAUCCAUUAUUCCUCUUAUUCUUUAAUUUCCCUCUUCAGUAAAAUCUCUCAGGCCUCAGAUUUAUCAUUUUUCACUAAUGAUUUAGGAAUUAUGUUUAUACGAGAAAUAAUAUAAUUUGUGAAUACGGAAGAACAUACACAUUGAUAAAAGAGGGUAACACCUUGGUGUUCCUUUAUUUGUUUCAAUUCUAUCAAUUCUAUCAUACUCUAAUUUGAUUCCAUGCAGAUGUUUGCACUUAACUAUUUGCUUAUAUACUUUAGGUGUGUCAAAUUUGUAUCUUGGUUGAUCAUUUCAUUUGAGAGUUGAGAUCAUGGGUUUGUCAGUUGUCUAUGACAAGGCAAGUACACAUAGUUUCUCACAUUCACCAAAUGAAUCGGCUGCAGACAUGUUGCCAGAUAAAUUAGCUAAUUUUUUAUUUUGAACAAAAUGUACCGUUGUAGACUUUGGCCUGAUAUUUCAAUUCUUCUAUGUUUCUUGUAAUUUUUUAUGUUGUUCUUGUCAUUUUGUUUCUUUCUUUCUCUAAUAACAGCUCAUUCAUUUUCUGUUGUCUUGUCAUUGAACUACCAUAUUACUGCAUAAAACACUUGUUUUACAAUGAAUGAAAUGAAAGGGACAAGUUUGCUAUUUCCAGUCAACAUGAAUUAAAGGACGCCUACUAUAUAUGCACAUGUUUUUUUUUUUGAUCUUUGGAUCGUUCUUUUGAUGUGAUUCAGACCAACUUGUAGUAUGGCUGGUCAUGUAUCUGAUAAUGAUCAUCUGGACUUAACCUGAGGCGUCUUUAUCAAGUGAACUUAAAUAUAUUGGCUUGACAAAGUUGACCAAAGAAGCAUUGAGUAAGGUUGUUGUGUCAUAAUGCACAUAUUCAGAUGGAUGUAUAAUGGAAAGAGAUAGAGUGACGCAUGCUGAAAUUAAUUAGUAUUUAUUGCAUGGCGUCACUUCAUCUUUUUUCAACAGUUUUAAACAUAUCUCUUUCCAAUUUGAAUUCCAUCACCAUUUCAAUUGCUUAACGUCUUCUUCAGGGCUAGUUGAGAGAAUCCAUGAAGCACCCUCUUUAUGUUGCAACGUGGAAGCAGUAAUGCCAAUUGGAAGUCAAGGAGCACGGGGCUCUUGCACUGGGGGCACCUAGGGUCAUCCUGGGGGAGCAUCACAUAGAUGAAGCAGCGAGGGCAGGCUGCAAGAACCAUGGACGUAGCCUCAGGGCUGUUGGACCACUGCAGGCCAUGCUCGUUCUCAGAUGACAGGCAGGAGCUCGGGGAUGACUCCUCGUCAGCCAUCGUCCUCCUGGAGGAGUCUCCAGUUGCCGGAAGUGAAAGGUUCAGCUUCAGGUCAAGGCCCCUAGAGCUCUUCCUGUUGCUGCGACUCAUCCUGGGAGGGAUGUGAUGGCUGCAUCCAUCAAACGUUUGAAUCAGCUGGUUGAGAUACACACCUCAGAAUGACUUUCCUACUCUUACAAGGAUUAGAUGCCUGGAUACAUAUAGCAAGGGAACUUACUGUUUUGCAGGGUGAUGAAGCGCUGGAUGUGAGCAGAUGGAGAUGAGAGCGAUGUGUGAUGCUCUUAGAGGAGAGGACUCUGAGCUUUAGAAUGCUCAGAGGUGUUUCUUCGGUGCUGUUGGAGAAGAGAUGGGUGGUAUUUAUAGUGGGGGAAGGAUGGGAGGUCAAUUGGUUUUCUUUAAUGUGACAGUAAGAGGUGGAAGGCGCGGAGUUGAACGCAACUUCAGCCCAACUACGGAGACAAGGGGGUUGACCUGAAUGUGGCCUCAUAACUGUGGCACUAGGUUACUUAGUACAGGAUAUAGUUUAAAAUGAUUUUACAUGUAUAAAUUGUGAUUAGUCGGUGUUUUGUGUCAAUCCCAUGUGCCCUUUUUUAAAUUCAAUAGAGCAUUCUAAUGCAUUGAUUAAAGCUUACCAAAGGAAAAAAGAAAAGUCCCACGCGUCAGUCAUGUUAUUGUGGUUUCACCUGUUGCAACUGGUAACACAAUUUUUUGUUGAUUGAGAAAUUAGCAGAGACUGAUGGAUCAAAUUCUGAGUAAACCCAUACGGACGAAGUAUGAUUUCUCCAGAAGUCUCAAAAUUGCUGUACACCUGAGUUUUCCUUUUGAAUUCCAUUUUGUAUGUAGUUUAAUAAUUUAUCUUGGUAUUGGUAUAAAACUGUUUUAAGCUUCACAACUUGAUUUCUGGUGCAGGUCUGCUGGCGUUAAACUGAUAAAUGGCCACUCACAUGGCGUCAAAGUGUUUAACUGUUGAUGCGAUCACCCUUUUUGUGAUAAGUAGUGCGUGAACCAAAUUCCUUAUGUAAAUUUAAAUUAUAUAAUUUGUUUUUCUUAAUGAAAUCACUACAAUAUUUGAAUUGUAUAUUAGAACUUUAGAAGACAAAUAGAGAAACUGCAGUGCAAAAUGCAUGAUUUA